rnacentral:lncRNA from 1 species
AAACAAAAGGAUGAAACCUCUUAAUUCGAAUUCGCCACCUAACUUGAAAGCCCAAAUUUAGAGCUCAAUUUUAUUUCAAUGCCAUCAUACCCAAUAUUUAAUGAGUAGAUUGAGAUCCUCCACAUCCUUGGGCCUCAGACGAGCCCAAUAUUAAAGCAGUAAGCUGUAGUUUAGGCUUAAUUUCAACCUUUAGAUUAAAAUUUAUAGUAGCACACUAGGCCUUUCUUUUAGUAAAGGCUACUACAAAUCAAUGCAAACAAAUAUGGAGGGCAAUGAUCGAACUAGAAUAGUCAUUAACUAAGCCAUUAAAUUCAUGCAGACUCAAUAUGCAUAAGUGUAGAUUUCGUGGUUCAAAACUCGCGUGCCUGUUCAAUUCAACUCAAUGAACAUGUCCUCAAUCAACUAUUAAGACUACAGUGACAUUUAUUUUUACUAAUAUCCUAAUAUGUUCAAACUAUAGCUUUUAGAACAGGUCCACAUUUCUAUACAAGCGAUGGAAACCUGGAAUGAAUCAGUCAUGACCUGCUAUAGUAGUCUAGAUCUAACUAUUACAUACAACAAUCAAAUGGCUUACAAUAAACUCAAAACACUUAACUAGACUCGAAACAGUCCAGUCCAAGUUAUACAGUCCAAUUUUAUGUGUGUACAAACCAAAAUAAAACUACAUUAACCUAUUACAUAUCAUUUAAGGUUCAUUUGACCAUUUAACAUCGCAAUCCAAACAAGUACAGUUCAAGGAGCAGGUGUAGGACACUUUUCAUUUCAUUUUCACUCAAAAGCUACACCAAGUGAAGUUCAUAUAUGUACCUGGAAUUACAAUGAAACAAAGGAAGAGGUCAGCAGUGACAAUAUAGCAGUCGAAACUCAAUAGUAAAACCACAGCAGCAGGACUAAUUUGGAAGCCAAACUUGCAUCAACCUAACAUAAACCAAACAUAGCCUUUGAUUGAACCCAAAUACACUCGAAAUUGAAACCAUUAAACUUCUAAAGUAUUAACACCUCAAACACAUGUUUAGAUCAUUCUCAUCUUAUUUAGCCUAGAUAUUCAAAUUGACAGCUAGAAAUUGAAACUAAUAUGAGGGAAAAACUUGAAUAACACAGUAUUUAUGGGAAUAUUUUGAAGCUUUUGGGUCUAAAAGAGCUUUCCAACUCUAAAUUGCAGAUCUAGCUUUUGGAGCUUAAAAUUCAAACUUUCAGAGAUUUUCAUAACUCUAAACCUCUGGGAAUCUGGAAAUUUUAGGAAAGCUUAAAGGAUUUUUCAGACUUUUUGGGAGUUUUUAGGGGUCAAAAGCUUGGGAAUUUUCCGGAAUUUCUAACUUUUGGAAUCUUUCAGAAUCUGGAAUUUUUUGGGUUUUUCUCAAGAUUUUUCAUACUUCCAAAACUUGUGGAAGAAUGCAAUGGUUUGCUCUUUUUAUAUGCUAAACUUAUGGCAACUCUUUCUAUUUUGUUUUACCCAUUAGUCCCUCCCUUAUUUUUCAGAUUUACUCAAUUAGUCCUUUUAACCCUGACUUGUGCCUCAAGUUAUAUCCAUAAAAGCCUGAAAUUCAAAUUUGAACCCUAUUCUAAAAUGUUCUAGAUUCAACUACAACAUUGUGUUCUAUUUAGGAAUACCUACACUACCCCUUAUUCAAUUUGACAUUUACUAACCUAGUACUCACUACACCCCAACCACUUUUACCUUGGUUUAAAUUAUCAGCUAUAACCAAACAGUCAUAACAUCUGAAUUAAUGGACUCAAAUAACUCUAAUUAGGAACAGAAUUAACAAACUACAGUUCAAAUCGGCAAGUACUACUAGUAAGUCUAAAAUUCCACAUAAGAAUUAGUUAAAUGCCAUUGAAUCAUGAAUCAGAACUAACUUAACAUAAACACAAUCAUCUUAAAACCCUAAAUUAAUCCUAAAACGUGCCAGAAUUUCAAAUUUAAAAUGAAACAAAUCAGAACAAGACUAAACUAAAAAUCAAAACAAGCAUGGAAUAAAAGAACAUUAAUUAUAAAAACACAAUUAAGCUUACAAAAAGGAAACAGAACUCAUGAUAAUCAGGAAAAGAAGAAAAGAAAGGAAGAAAGAUUAAGCAUAAAACUUACAGAUUUAAGACUAGUGUGAUUGCUCUCGAAUUUGGUCCCCAAGUAAUGUUGUGUGUUUGUUCUGUAUAAGAACAAACCCUCAACAUUACUUUUGAACCGAUUUGAACUCCAAUUCUCCAGAGAAAUUUGACAGCUUUGAGAAGACUCCUAGAUCUAAAAUUCGAGGGGCUCAGCUUGGUUAUGAAUGAUUUUGGCUUCGGAUUUGGUAAGAGGGGGUUGAGGAUAGUACAGGGUGUGAAUUUGGUUGGGUUUGGAGGAUUAUAGGGUUGACCACCUUUCUUUGAUUCGAUAUUUGAAUUGCUUGGUUGGGAUUUGAAGGAGGAGGAGUUUGGAUUUGGAAAGGGGAAGGAGAGAGGAGGCCAUGGUGUUUUUUGGGUGGCUAUUGGAGCCAGCGCCGUCGUGGAUGGCAGAACAACCAACCUUUUGAUCGACGAUUUGAGAAGAAGGGUAUUCGAAGGUUGAUACUUGGGGCGUUGGAAAGAGAAGGAGGAGGGGAAUCAGGGGUGUAUUUUUGGAGUUGAUAGGAGAUUGGCCGCAGGCGGUGGACGACGAAAGGACGGUGGCUUUAGGGUGGCGUUACACCGGCGUUAUCAGGGUAUUUUUGGAAAUGGCUUGGGGGUGGGGGGGUGUAUCCGACAUUUAUAUAGCCCAUAACCUCAUUAGUUCUCGUCCGCCAGAUGCAAAAGAAUUGAUGUUGUGAUUGAUCUUGAGAAAAACGAGGUCGUUUUGAUCAUGGGAUGCUCCGGGUAAAAUUUUGGCUGGAUGGGUAUUUGAACGGGUUGGGGGGUUUGGGCUAGGAAGUUGUAUCCGAAACAGGCCCAAUUUCUUUCUUUUUAUUUUUUUUCUUCUUUUUCUCUUUUUAAUUAAUUAAUUCUUCAAAUAUAAAAAUCAGAUUUAAAUUCUAUGAUUAAAAAUAAUUAGUUUCAAAAAAAGCCUAAAUCCUAGUUUUAAAUAGAAAACUAAGUAAACGUAAACAUGACUACUAUUUUUUUUUUGUUAUUUUCUCUUAUUUUUAUAAUGUCAAAUACUAAUAAUCCUAACAAAAAUGAAAAAUUGGAUCCUAAAUGCAAUAGUACUAUUUUUUAUAUAAUAUGAAUCAUAUUAAUUAAAAAUGCACAAAAAUGAAAAUAAGCACAAAAAUCAUACAAUUAAUUCCCUAAAAAUUCAAAUAAUAAAAGAAAAAAAUCCUAAUUUUAAGAAUUCUAUAGGAUUAUUUCAAUCGAGGCAAAAAUCACGUGCUCACAGCAGAUGGAAGCCAAAAGAGGAUGAAUCCAGUGUUGUUGUGGGCAAUGUACUCAAAGCAAAGUGGAAUUUAUAGGGACAUCUAGUUUACCUUUUAAAAAUAGUUCUAGUAUUCAUUUAGAAAAUACUAUUUUUGUAUCGUCUAUGAGAUGGAAUCUAGUUUCAGUUUCACUUUUUGACAAACUGGUUAUUUACUUCAACAAAAUAUGAUAUUAUUAAAAUUUGUUAUGAUUCACAUUUUGUUGUUGAUACAUUUUUAAGUGAUGGUCUAUAUCGCUUGAAUGCACUAAAUGAAUUUUUUCUGCAUUGCAUGUUGAAAAUAUUGCCCACAAAAGGUUUACUAUGAAUAAAAUGUCUUACUUGUUAUGGCAUAGGCGUCUUGGUCAUAUUUAUAAAGAAAGAAUUGACCAAUUCGUAAAGAAAAAUAUUUUACCACUUCUUGAACUUAAAGAUUUUGAAACUUGUGUGGAUUGUGUUAAAGGUAAAUUGACCAAGGUUAAGAGAAAGAGUUCUACUAGGAGCUCUGAACUCUUAGAAAUUAUUCAUACUAAUAUUAGUGGACCUUAUAUACCUACUUUCAUCAAUCAUAAGCAUUUUAUUACAUUAUUGAUGACUUUUCAAGAUACUGUUAUACAUAUCUUUUAAAAUAAAUAUCUGAAGUACUUGAUAAGUUUAAAAUUGACAAGAUUGAAGUUAAGUCAAAAACGGCUUGGGAAGUCCAUUAAGAUAGUGAGGUCCGGCAGUGGUGGUGAGUACUAUAGAAAAUAUGAUAAAUCUAGUUAAUGUAUGUGGCCUUUUGCUUUAUUUUUGCUAGAAUGUUAGACAGUAGCAUAAUAUACCAUGCCAGGUACUCCUGAGCAGAAUGGUGUAGCUGAAAGACAGAAUCAUACUCUAAUGAAAAUGGUGAGAAGUAUGAUGUCAAGGACUAGCCUACUUGAUUCUCUCUGGGGUGAAGCCUUAAAAACAUCUAAUGAUAUCCUGAAUAGAGUUCCUACAAAAUCUGUUUUGGUUCAAUGGACAACCCAAAUACCUAGCUUGAAUCAUUUUCACAUUUGGGGAUUUCCAGCUGAAGUUUUUAUUUAUCCACCCACAGAAAAGAAAACUGAUCCUAAAACUACCAGUUAUUUCUUUAUAGGCAAUUGUGAUCACUCUAAAGCUUUUGGAUUUUUUUGUCUUGGUCGUGGCACUAGAAUAGUUGAAUCUAUUAAUGCAAAGUUUCUUGAGAAUGAUGCUUGCAAUUGUGAUUGUUCAUGUGGUAAGGAAAUUGUAUUGAAAGAGAAGGAAGUCAAUUUGAUUCCCCCCCUCCAAUUCGAUCUAGCGCUGAGAGCAGUUUUUCUUUGCACUAAUCAGUGUAAGAGAAGGGGCUUUUUCUCCUAAGGUGUGAUACUCACAUAGUUAACCUCAAUCACUCAUGGUAGUUGAUGAUUUGAGCGAUGCGGCUAGCAUAGAUGUAUACGUUGGAGUUCCAGGAAAUUUCCAAACCGACCUAGGUGAUUCCAUCUAUCUGCACCCGUUGGAUAAUCUCGGUGCUAUGCUUGUUUCCGUUCCUUUCAGUGGUGUUGGUUAUCAUUCAUGGAGGCGCAGUGUGUUGCAGGGGCCAUUAGUAAAAAUCAAGCUAGGGUUUAUAAAUGGUGAAUUCAAGUGUCCCGGUCCUCAGCCGCCUACAUUUUGUCAAUGGGAACGAUGUGAUGAUAUGAUGACUUCAUGGAUUCUUAAUUCCUUGUCGAAGGAAAUCGCAGACUAUUGAAUAUGCAAAUGAUGCUAUGGAGCCGUGGAUUGAACUAGAAUAUCGGUAUGAAAUCCAAAAGGAAAUAAACGAUACAUCUCAUGGAACUCUUGACAUUACCAACUACUACACCAGAUUGAAGAAACUCUAGGAAGGAGCACCUUGAGUAAAACGUUUCAAUGCACUUGCAACUGUACUGUGGUACGAAGGGAAAUUUCUACAAAGCUGAGCAGGACAAGCGACUAAUACAAGUUCUCAUGUGGUUGAAUGAAACCUACAUUGUGAUUCAGAAGCAUGUCACACCUCCAUUUGGCUACUACAAUCGCACGAAGGGCGUAAAGGGAGUUUUUCCAAUUAAAGGACAAUUGAAACGAGAUUCAAUUAUAUAAGAGAUUUGAGAGUCGCCACUUGGGAUAAUUAAUGGUGUCCCAAGUUACCGGUUUAAUCCCCCAAUCAAAGAAAUUUUGACUCUGUAAACAGUGUGCGAGCCAGAAAUCCAGGUAAGGAAUCCUGUUAACCCUAUCCCAAGUCACCGGCUUAAAUCCCGAAUUGAUGAAAGUUUGACUCUGUAUACAAUCUGCGAGCCAGAAAUCCGGUUACAGAAUCCUGUUAACCCGGGAGAAGGUGUUAGGCACUCCCGAGUUCCGUGGUUGUAGCACGGUCGCUCAACUGCUAUAUUUUGGCUUAAUUAUCUGAUUUUAGUCCCUUUUUGCCUAUGUGCCAAUUUUGGCUUUUAGCCGCUUUCUAUUAUUAUUUUUUAAAAAAAAUUGCAACGUUAUUAAAACACACCUCGAACCACGUCACAUAAAUGCACUCGUGAUUUUUGAUAUAUUUUAACGUCCUUAGGAUUUGGAUUUAGGUCACAUAAAUGAGCACCCGAAUUUAGGAAAGUACGUUAUUUAUAGAACGCGCCUAAAGCGGCUAACGUGUUAUUAACUUUGCGGGAGGCCGUGAAAAUUUGCUUAACAUCUCUUCCCAAGUUCUAGAUAUCUUUAAAGACAUAAUUAAAGAGGGUCACGCAUUCGUGAUUUUAUUUGGCGCGGCGCACCUCGACUCUAUUUUAAAGGAUAUUUAAACUAAAAGCUCGGAGUUCCAUAAACUAUUUGUUAUCUACUAUGGCUCACCUCCAAGUUAUUUCAAGAGGCUAAUUAAUAAAGAUUGAACGUAAAAGAGGCCUUAGGUAAUUGACUGAAGGCUCACGGGGGGAGGGGGGAGCGAUUCAUUCUUCCAAUGCAAGAAAACCAAUGGCCCAACUUACAGACUGGCCCUAGUUAUAUUUGAAGGAAAAUGCUCCGAUUGGGCCCAAGAAUAAGCCCACGUUCAUGAGGGCACGCCAUACAGUCUUCACGAAAGGGGCUCACAUGUGAAAUAAAUGGACUCACAAAUGAAGCCUAGCUCGGCAAUCUAAUUGCAUAUGGCACCAUUGCAAUUGGGCCAAAUGACAGCCCAAGACAUAAACAUCAAAUAUAUUUGAGGCAAAUCAUAACAUUUAGGAAAAAACUAAAAUCGAGUAAAUACUGCUAAUCUCUAAUUAAAAGGUAAAGCAAAUUUUAAGGCUAACAUGGAUUCGAAGGCAAUACCUAGUUGUAAUAACAUCUUUUUUUGCGCAAAUUAUCCACUAAUUACAAAACUCUCAAAGUUCACACAACUUGUAUCAAAAUAUGGUGCAACUAAAGCUCAUUCAAGACAAACCGACUUGAUUUAAUUACAGGUGAAUUCUUACAAGCAAUAAAGAAACUUCAUGAAGCAGCAUGACAAACAAACGAAAAAACACUUAAAUUUCAUAUUCAUUUAAGUCAUCUAAUAUUGUAUUCCCCUAAGUGUACAUUUAACACAUGAAAUUCAAAGUUAUAACCAACAUUCAACUAUAGCAGACCAAGGAUCAAACCAUAACUAUAACGAGACUAAACUUAAUAAAACAGAACCAACUCAAAUGGAAUAAAAUACACACAGCCUAGAUCUAACACUAUUGUGCCAUCUAAUUAGUCAUAUCAAAAGGGAGAUUAAUACAUGACUAACAUGACCAAAUUAGCUACAACCUACUUUGAAAAUUACAUGGAUUCAAACUUCAAAACUAUAGAGUAAAGUAAAAUAAUAGCAUAACAUGUGAUGUCCAUAAAUAAUAAUAUAUUCAUUUCCUCCUCAAGUCAUUGCUUCGAUUUACAUGCUUAAAUGGACUCCAUAAGAACUGGAAUAUACUUGGAAAUAACAAAAGAAAGCAGCGAAAUGAGGAAUUAACAGAACAGCAGCGACAGGAGCAAUACUCAGCAGCAAAACCAACACAUGAAUGGUUGAAGGACACCACUUUAAACAAUUUUGAAUUCAAACAAUAUCACCCAAAGUGCAGAAUCAAAUUUAAAAAAAAAUGACCCCAAAAAUUGAAUAUUAUACAUACUUCAACUCAUUUUUAACUAUUAAUUACUCGUCAUAGAUUGAAUUCCACAAGAAAUCUCAGUGAUUAUUCAAUGAAACAAUAGUAUUUCUGUAUUUUUAUCCUCAAGCUUGAAUGAAGCAGUAGAGUUUUACAGGUCAUGUUUCUGGUUUUUUCAGCUCUCCAAAUUUUCUAAAAUAGCAGCUUUGUUUCUGGAUUUUUCAGCCCCUCAAACCUUAUGUGUGUUUUUUUUCAGAUUUCAAGCUUCUCAUCUCUGCCUUGGAAGGAAAGUUUGAAAUGCCUUUAUAGGCAAGCACAUAGCGCAACCCUCUGUUUUUAGUUUUUCACCCUUAGUCCCUCUUUUAUUUACAUAUUCUUAACUGUUUAGUCCUUAGCAUCUUGGCUUAUUUCCCAAGUUACUACACAUAUUUGUUGAAUUUCAGAUCGAAACUCUAUCUAGAAGGUCUUAGGGAGUUCCAUUCAGUUACUAAAAUAUUCCUUAUGUAAACUACCCACACUACCCUUUCAUUCAUUCUAAAAUUACUUACCAAUCCCAUGUCAACUUAACCUAACCUUUCUAAACUAACCAUGGUUACACUAGCACUUCUGAAAAUUAAUCAGCUAGAACCAUAUUUAAGCGAAACAAAACUCUUGAAUCUUAAUUAACUACUAAACUACAAAUUUAAAAAUAUUGCAAUCAUUCAAACGAAAACUAAGAAAUGAACUCGACUAAAACCAAAAGAGAAAAUCAAACACGGGCCAGUAAUGGCAACCCAAGAAUAGGCAGAAAUGCUAAUCGAGCUUUCAAACUAAACUAAUCAGAAAAGAAAAUAAAAUUAAAGAACUAUAAUAGAAAAUCAAUUUUAAAACAAAGAAUAGCAAAAGACUUGAAAAGAGAACUUACCUAUGUGAAAUUUGAACAAAAACUGGACUUCGAUUCGGGCCUCGGAACAACAUUAACCACUUGUUCUUCAAAAAGAACAAUGAAACCAUUGUUUCGAGGCGUAAAUCCAAGACCAGACUCAAGAUCUUGGACAGAAAUCGGGCGAUUUGAACUUCUAGGGUUCAACCGCCUCUUUGAUUUAAAAUUCGAGCAGCUCUAACGAUUUUUGAAAUAUUCCAGUUAGGGGUCAGGAAUAGGAGGGUCUGUGGUGUUAUUUUUUGGCGAUUUGGAUGCGGCACCGCCGUGGGCGACGGAGCCGACGACCAUUAUUUUGAAUAUUCUACGGGCUUGAGGAACAUUCUAUGGAAGUGGGGCUCAAAUUUGGAUAGAGGAGGCCAAGGGGGAUCAGUGGUGUUAAUUCCGAAGGGUUUGGAGCUCUGCCGCUGGCGGUGGUGAUUUCCGGCCAGCAGCAUUUAGGGUUUCUGUGGGUUGGAAGGUUAGAGACGGACAUGGGGGGAUGAGUGUC